UAAUGUCAGUGGCAGACGGGUGAGUAACGCGUGGGAACGUACCUUUUGGUUCGGAACAACACAGGGAAACUUGUGCUAAUACCGGAUAAGCCCUUACGGGGAAAGAUUUAUCGCCGAAAGAUCGGCCCGCGUCUGAUUAGCUAGUUGGUGAGGUAAUGGCUCACCAAGGCGACGAUCAGUAGCUGGUCUGAGAGGAUGAUCAGCCACAUUGGGACUGAGACACGGCCCAA
rnacentral:rRNA from 1 species